CGCCUUGACGACGAGGACCUUGUCUCCUACAAUCUUGCUGGUUUGGACAUCGACUUCAACCCGGUGGUCACUUCGGUCGCGUCCCGUGUCGAGCCGGUGUCUGUCGGCGAGCUGUAUGCCCAGCUCGUCAGCUUCGAGU
rfam:Leersia perrieri chromosome 2, whole genome shotgun sequence.